UCACUUAACACUUUACCCAUUCCAUAAAUCCAAUUAAUUAUCGACAAAGAGCAGUUUCAGUGCUGAAUAAUUCACCAAAUAGAAACUAUAAAACACCCACUCCCUUGUUAACGUAUCAGAAUAAGUUAUAUACAUACAUGAUUGACAAGAUACAAUAUCAAUCCAUUCAUGAACAGGGAACGUACUAUUGGCAUGCUACCAAAUCAGAUGACUUGGACCUUUAUAGUCCAAAUGACUUUAAACAAGUAAUAAAUUGCCAAAUCCAUACAUUCAACUACCCAUAACAGCGUCUGACUUCUAAGAUGACCUAUUUGGACAAUGUUUAUGCAAUCAUAUGAAAUUUUCUUCAAAAAGUACACAAAAUUGGGCUCAGAAUUAAUCCCUCAAAUUGACAAGCAAACCCCAAAGACAUUACAAACGUUCAACCCCCCCCCCCCCCUAUUUCAAUGAAUAACACACAAACAGGCUGAUUAUACUACGACUUUAACCAGGACUGUUAUACAGACUUAAUACCAUCAGCAUGAGCUACUAAAUAUAUACCCCUGAACAACUUCAUUAACCAAAGACCAUCAAAACAAACUUAAGCAUAACAAGAAAGAAAUGGACAUGAAAAAAUGGAAUGAAAGCUGAAUAGCCUAAAGAAAAUAUGGAAACUAAAGCCCCAAACAAAAUAAUCCCCAUUGACUUCAGCAGAAACAUAUCUUCCAUAUAAAACAUAUUCAAGCUCCAUUUUCCAUUCAAGGUUCAAAGGAAUACCUGGAACAAUAAGAAACAAACAACAAAAACUUUCAGCAAAGAAAUUAAAAUAUCAGCAGUUUUUAAACAGCAACAAACGGCAGUUCAUCAGUCAACUUUUUAUGUCUUGAGCCCAGAACAAAACAGCAAUUUUUCUAGCCUUUAAAACCCAAGAAACAUGAAGAACCAGCUACAACAGACCAGUAUUUGCCAAUUUUUUGUGUUUUCUUGCUAAUUUCUAAACUUUAGUAGUGAGUGUACCCUUCAGUCAUUUCUAGUUUUUUAGUCUUGUAAUCUCUGCCCAUUUUUAUUGUAAGCAAACCUUAUAUAGAGGACCUUAGGGUAGCAGAAUUGAUUUCAGAGUUUUGUUCAUUACCCCUUCCCCAAUUUUUCUUUUGUUCAAAUAACACCCUGAAUUUUAAACCUAUUUACUGAACUACCCAAUCCCCUCUUUCCUAGAAGCUUCCCAAUCAGUUUAAGGGAGAUUCCUCUUAUUAAAUUCCCUAAACUACCCUUCAAAGGCUUACUAAUUACUUUAACACACCAGACCUUGAACCCCUUUAAACAACUGAAAAACCCAAAACCCCCAGAACUCUUUUGGCCUUAGUGCUAAUGGGCAUGUCUGGAUAUAGGGCAGGCCCCAAAUCAAACAAAGCCCAAAACAAAGCAAUUUUUGGAAGAAGAAGAAAACAGCAAUAAUCCAACUCAACGAAAUCAAAAACAACCACAAUGAACCAAUUCAUCUAAACCAUGGAAUCGUAACAAAAUUAAACAGAUAAAUUAGAAAUGAUCAGUGAGGAAUUACACGGAUUCAAGGGCCUAACAAAACUAAAUCAUGUUAAGACGUUUAACAACAAUUGACAGACUAAAUGACUCUGAGGUUAAGCACAAACAAAGGAAAGCUAAAAUUCUUCAUUCUUGAAAGAAAAGGAGAAGAAGAUAAAGAAACGAAGGGGAACGGAUAGACAGAAAAAGGGACCAAGAGAGAUAGAAAUACCUAAUACUCUGGGCGCCCAGACGACUUGGAUAAAGCAACUCCCCGACUUUUUGAUUUAAACCAAAAUGAGUGUUAAUCGACUAUUCUUGUGAGAACAAAUGACUAACACUCGUUUCAGACAAAAAUUGACUUCAUGGAGAACAUGAACCCAGGCCUUUUGCAUGAUGAAUCAAGGGCAAGAACGUAUCUAGGGUUUUGUUUUAAGAUAUGAAAUUAAGGGAGACUGGUGGAGAUUUUGGGGAAAUUGACACCGGCCUAAUGUUUGAGGGAGUAUGGGGAGUGUAUGGUUGAUUUUUGGUGGGAUUUGGAGCUUCAACGCCGCGAUGGCGAAAUCCGGCGGGUGGCAGGCGGUGGUGAGAUAUGAGGAUGAAAGAAAAGCUGUAAUAGGGUCCUAGGUUAUUUUAGGGGUAUUCAGACAAUUAUAAACAAAAAAAGGGGACUUUCACGGCCGU
rnacentral:lncRNA from 1 species